AGAGAGGGGAGAACAGAGGAUCUGAAGUAUGCUCUGUGCUGACAGCAGAGAGCCUGAUGCAGGGAUUGAACUCACAAACCAUGAGAUCAUGACCUGAGCCAAAGUCGGACACUUAACUGACUGAGGAUACAGGUGCCCCUUGAUUGCCUUUCUUGAUGGAGUGAAAAAAAAUUUGUAGACACAUUUAAAACCACCACAUAAGUUUUGAACAAAACAUGUGGUUGGAACAUAUUCUUCUUGCUCUGUAAUUAUUGCUAAGAUAAAAUAAUUGCUAAUGUUUUCAGAGCACUUACCAUGUGCCAGGAACAAUGCUAAGCACGCUACAUGGUGUGACAGUUAAAUGACAAACUAUCCCAUAUUCUACAGGACAGGUACUGUUAUUUCCCCAUUUCAUCAAUCUGGAAUCUAAAACUUGAAGACCUUAGAUAAUUUGUCCAUGUUACCCAGGUAGAAAGUGGCAGUCCCAGGACAGGAGCCCAGGCAGGCUUGUCCAUUAAUAGCCAAACUGUCAACAUUUCCUCAGGCUCUCUUUUGCAUGUAUGAGUUUCAGGUGCAUAAAAUAGAUUUUUCAAAGUUAAUAAGUGGAUGUAUAACUGUAUCCAACCUCACACACAAAAUAUGCUUGUACAGUUCCUAACAAUAAGGAGAAAAUAUCUUCCUGGUAGCUGUUAUUGGAAGGGUUUUGGAAGGAGGAGGUUGGAUUUGAAGGAAAGAUGCUAGGAUAACCCCUUUGUGGGGUAACAGGUGCCUCCCUAGCUAGGUUUCAGGGCAGGAGGGACCUUCUUUUUUUUUUAAUGUUUAUUUAUUUUUGAGAGAGUGCAAGUGGGGGAGAGACAGAGAGAAGGAUGGAGACAGAAGAUCCAGAAGCGACUCUGAACUGACAGCAGUGAGACCGAUGCGGGGCUCAAACCCACAAACCGUGAGAUCAUGACCUGAGCCAAAGUCGACGCUCAACCAACUGAGCCACCCAGAUGCCCCAGGAGGGAGCUUCUUGAAGGGAGAGGUAUUGAGGGUUGUGGAACAAUGGUGAAGAAAUAGGCAAUUUCCAGACCUUCCAACCCACCCCUUUUUCCAUAAGAGAAUCAGAAGGAGAUUUUAGGAGCAGAGACAUCUAAAAGAGAUUUCUUUCCUGCAAAGGGAUUUGUAAGAUGCUAUGUGCUGUGUAACAUGAACUCCCCCCAGGCCUCCAACAUUUUUAUGUGAAAUUACAAAAAUUCAUGGUGGGUGUGUAUAGUUCAAUUUAUUUUUAUAGCUAGUUUAGAGGGUGAGUUUUGUAUCAUGAAUUGCUCAAAAUUAGCCUAUGCUAAUAAAGGGGGGGGGCACUAGCCUCUGGGUUCUUAAAUCAUGCCCUAUAACAAGUAGUUCGUGUCCUUGACAGAGUGGUGGAAUUCAUUAACUAGUUUCAGUCCCACUAGGAGCCGGUUCAUCCUUUCCAGUAAUUGGCAUCAAGCCCAAUCUGUUCCAGGAAGAAUGAAUUUCCUCACUGAGCAUAUGCUUACUGAGUGUCUAUGGCACUUGUCAUACCCAGAUAUGAACAAACCUCAGUAAGACUAAAUUCUGGAUUGAGGGGCUGUUCACCUUGUUUUGCCUACUUUGGUUACCAGGAAUCUACGUGGAAGGUAGGUCUCAUUUGGUCCAGAUAUGUAAUAAUUCUGCAGUGAGUAUGAAACCAACUCCAAGUACCCACUGAGACUAACCCAGCACUCUGUGGUGAGAAUCAAAUAAAUUUUUUCUUUAUGCUUACACCAAAGAGCCUCCAGGAUUGUCUUUGGCUCCCUUUCAUUAGGGAAGUGGCAAUAACUCUUAAUCUGUCUAGCUGAAGGCACAGCUCAGGUCUGAUCUAGGCCAACUUUGGGUUUCCUGUGUUGUUCUUGUCCACUGUCGUCUGGUGCCUCUUGCCACAGAUUCUUGGUGAUAAGCCUCAACAUUUACACCAAACAUAGCCAUUGAACACUUAGGUGUCAAUUGUUUUCUUCAAAAUGCUUCCGUUUCCUCCAUCAAGCUCUGAAAAAUGGCCCUGGGAUGGUAGGUUCCGUAGCUUCCUAUCACUACCACCUGCACACUCUGAUGGUUGUUGUGCUUUCCCUGUGGAGAUGACUACACAUUUACAGCACCAAAAGGAGCAAGGGCUUUAUGACCCUUCUCAUGGGAGGUAUUACUUAUAUUCUGAUUGGAGUCAUAACUUAAAAUGGAUCUCUCGUUGUGUAGAAAUGUGGAUACCAUGACCCCUCCUAUGCAAUACCUUUAAGCCUCUCUCUGUCAAGGUUCCCUUAAACAGUACUGUUUAAUCAUUUUGUAGAAUACUGUAUCAUUUUCCCUAAUUGUCUACAACCUCUUUCUAUAAAAGGACUUCAUUUUUAAAUACUUGUGAUGUCUUUCUACCUCUCCACCUUGCUGACAAUCAGACUUGACUGUGGACUAGUUUUGGCCAGUGAAUUGUGAGUAGAAGUGACAGAGCCUGUUCCAAAAAGAAGCCUCAAGAGUCACUGCGUGUUUCUGUCAUGUUUCUUGCUGUUUUCUGUAUCCACAAAUUUAUAUUUUAGAUGAGGAGUAUUCUUUCACUCUCAAUCCCCCAGAAGAUGAGACAUGUAGAAUGAAGCUGGAUGGAGCUCAGCAGAGCUGUAGCUGAUCCGCAAGAGCCAUGAAAUAAAGAGCAUGAGCAAGAAAUAAACCUUUGUUGGUUUCAGGCACUAGGAUUUUGGGGUGUUACUACAGCUUAACCUAGCAUAAGCUGACUAAAACACUGAUAAUGGAAGUUACAUGCUUACUGUGAGGAAGCCUUUGUGGAAUAUGAAGUUGUACAAGAUAGUGUCUGCCUUCUAGAAGCUUACAAUCUAAGACAAGAUUAGAUGCCCAAGCAUCCAUUAAAGUAGCAGAAGUGGCUAAGCUGAUGAGUGAGGCUGGAGGACCAUAAGGCUGGUUAGCAGCCUGAAAAGUGAGAGGGGAAAAUUUCACAGAGGAGGUGAUUGGGAGGUUCAAUGAUGCAGGCACUUCAAGGAGAAAAAGGGCUGAGCAAGGUCUUCAAGGAAUUACUUCUGGGUGAGUGGGUAGAGCAGGCGGUCUGAUGCAAAGGGCUAAGGAGGUAGAGAGGAUGCAAAGCCAUCAUAAAAGAUUACUCUUUCAACAUGUGUGGUGAGAGAAACCAUAGUCAUGGGGGAAGUCAAAGAUUGCAUCAGCUUCACAGAGUGAUGCAGCAAGCAGAGUUGGGGAUUGCUGCCCUUCCUACACACCCUGCUCUUAGAGCCUGCCCCCGCCCAGUGGGCCUUCUGAGGGAGAGGGCAUUGGUUAGCUCCAUGCUCCCAGCCUCAGAUGAUUCCACUGAGGUGGGCACCUGAUGUGAGGAGGGCUGAUCUAAGUUGCCAAUGACCUUUCACUUGAAUGAUUAGGCUCAAAAGGAUGACUGGGGACAGUCACAUUCCUUCUCAUAGGAGCCCCCAAACUAAGAGGUACAGAUGAAGCAUGCUCCAGGACCCUUGACCUGAAAACCAAAGGAAAAUAAAGUGGAUAUUUUCAGGUCACGUACAUAUCCAAGUCAUGAGGGCCCACAGAGAGUGGCUGGGAAAGAAAGAACAAGAGAACAACAGAUACAAGGAGAAAAUUGGAGAAGCCAUGAGUAAGAGACAAUAACGGAGCUACAGUGCUUCAUAUAUGCCAAGCACUGUACUAAGUCCUUUACAUUGACAGUACCUCAUUUAUUUCUCCAAAAAUCCCUGGAUAUGGGUGCUGUGAUUAUCCUCAUUGUGCAGACAAGGAACCCAAGACACAAAGAAGUGGUGCCCAAGAUGACCCACAGUAAAGCCAUGAUGUAAACUAAGUAGGCUGACUCCUGACUUCCUACUUUUAGCUGCCAUGCAUUACUGCCCCUUGAAAGGGACAUGAGAGGCACUUCCUGCAGCCCUUGGGAGUCAACACUUCCUAAGCUCAGGCAGUUUUGUUUUAUUGGAUAUCCUGAGAUCAUAUGAGCCAUCCAGAAUGGGUUUCAGCUCCCGGCAACCAAAAUAACCCAAACCAAACCAGAUGGGGAGAUUUGGGCUUUCCAAAUGAAAGAAAGAGGGGUGUCCAUGUAGCAGACCUAUAAGGAAGCACAGGGGGAUGGGAUUAAGGGCAAGGGAGAGACUUUUUCUCUCCCAUAGCCAGAACCAUAUAGCUUAGUUUUACCAUCAGGCACCCACAGUGCCAUAUGGUAGCCAGUUAACUAACCAAAUAAGACUGACACAUAAUUCAGGCUGUACCUUUCUGGUAGCUGUUAUCGGAAGGUUUUUGGAGGGAGGAGGUUGGAUUUGAGGGAAAGAUGCUGGGAUAACCCAUUUGUGGGGUAACAGGUGCCUCUGUAGCUAGAUUUCAGGGAAGGAGGGAGCUUCUUUUUUUUUUUAACGUUUAUUUAUUUUUGAGAGAGUGCAACACAACACAAGGGGUGAGGUUGGGCUCACAUGCCUCCUCCUUUCUGAGUCUUGGUUUCUCUGUCAAUAAGAUGGGAAGGAUGAUUUUAAAAAAUGGAGAGAAUUUGACUUAUCAAGACUUUGGGGAGACUAGGAAGGUGCAGAUCAGCACAAUGGGGCUGCCCCCUGUGGCUGCCAGACCUGGCAUUUUGGGUCAGGUUUUCCAGAGACAGUCUCUGAGAUGGAGGUGUGAGUGCCGGAAGUUUAUCAGGGAGUGUGCUCGGUAUCAACACCUGUGAGGACUGAGGGCAUCUGGCUGAGCAGAGGGAGAAGUCACAGCAAUGACAGCAGCCAGUUCCAGGGGGAACUUAAGCUCUUCAGAACUGUCCCCACAGCGAUGGGCUGUGCCUCUGUACCCACCUCACCGAGAAGUCUUUGAGCUUGGGAUGCUCUGUUAGGUGAGGCAGCUUCCUUGAGUCAAGGGCAGUUCCUGGGAAGAGGCUCAGUUCUGAGACUUUCAGAAGCAACACCCCAUGUGGAUGGGGGAAUGUGUGCCUUGGCCCUGAAAGGAAGGAUCUGGGUAGCACAUCACCGCAUCGUCUAUGCACCAGAACUGAACCCCACUUCUCAGGGGCCAAAUAGGGCAGGGGAGCAUGGACUUUGGGAAAGGUGGGGGUGCUGAGAGGAGACAGGAGGUGUUUGCAGAAGGUUGUUCCCUACUGGUAUAAUCUCACUCUGCCCCUGCCUGGAAUCAGGAAAGUAAGUGACCAGGGAAAAUGCUACGUGAGUCUGGAUGUGUGUGGAAACCGUAAAGGGGUAAACUCCUGCUCCAGUCUGAGGCCAAGAAGUCACAGUGAGGACUCAGAAGCUGGAGAAAAUAAGGCAAGGAAAUUGCAAGGAGGCCAUGCAAUUAGAGUCUGAGCCAGGUUUAACCUAAAUUUCAAAGGACAGCCAGGUCCCACGUGGGUCACAUCAGACAAGGGCACAUUUCCUAGCACCCAGCUGAGUUUUGAGGAUUUCAGAUCUCCGUGAGCAAAACAGGAGGAAGCAGCUCUCUGUGGGCCAUGGGUUCCCAGGCCAUAGUUGGCUGUUGAAAAAGUCAGUGAGAGUUGUACUGGGCCUGAGUCAGGUGACGAUUGACACGAUGUGUGAGAGGGUAAGCCUCUGCCCCACGCAUUCUUGCUGCCGGAUUCAGGGGACUAUUACAACUGAUCAGGUCCCCCAGAAUGCAUAUGCUGAAGCCUUAAUGCCCAGGGUGAUGGGCACAUACGACCUUUAAUGAGGUCACAAGGGUGGGGCCCUAAUCCAACGGUACUGGUGUCCAUAUAAGAAGACACCACAGGAGUGCGUGCCCAGACAGAAGGCCAUGUGAGGACACAGCAAGCACACGGCCAUCUGCAAGCCCAGAAGAGAGGCUUCAGGUGACACCAAACCUGCCAGCACCUUGGUCGUGGACUUUCAGCCUCCAGAACUGUGAGAAAAUUAAUUUCUGUUAUUUAAGCCCCCCAGCCUGCAGCUCAGGCAGACUGAGACCGGGAGGUAGUCAGCUAGGCGAGCAGCGGGCUGAGAAGGUUGGUGCCGGAAGCAAAGCCCAUCUGUGUGUCCUCCUGUUUCUCCCUCUUCUCUUUCCUGCCUCACACAGUCCAACGCUGGAGGGACUGGUCGGUGGCCAGGGGACACCUGGAAGAGUGGUGGUUAGAGGCUACAUGUAGACUCUGGAUACACAAAGGUUGAACAUGAGAAAUCAGGGCCUUGCGGGUUGCUCUGCAAACCGACUUCCAGCCCGGUUUUCCCAGCUGCAUACACUUGAGGAGGGAGGGGGAGGGGAAGCAGCCUCCUUCCUUUCUGGCAGCUUGCUUUGCUGGCUGGCUGGUUAGCCAUAGCCAGUGUCACUGACCUGAAUUUGGCUUUCCAAAAAAAAAUUGUUUCACUAUAAUUCUUUUGGUUCCACUUUGGAACUUGGAUAAAAAAUAUGAUCCCGUUUACGAAAAUAUUCCAAAUACCCAAAUCAAAACUGAAAACUAGGAAGGCGAGUUAACUUUCUGGGCCUCCUUAUCUGAAAAACGAGGCAGUCACACUAGAUUUGCGGUUGAAAACAUUUUUUCUCUUUAAACCACAAGAAGCCUGUCUUCAAAAGAAGUCUUGCCGGGAAGCAGAAACAAAGGAGGUACCUGUGAGCUGGGCUGCUCUGAUCAAAAGGGGAGAAGUGAGUUCUAGAAACCUGCCCACCAAGGUGGGGCUUUACUAAACAGGGUCUGAAACCCAUUUGCUAUCAUCGCCUAAGCCAGUUAGUAGAGAUGCAGCCGGUGAUGGCCUCCUGCCUUCUCCCAACCUGCCUUUGUCCUUAAGAGGAGAACAAGGCCCAACAUGUUCGCUGAGGCCUCUCCUGGGGAGAAGAUGCAUGUGAGGAUAUGAGAAGAAAGCCAUCUGCAAACCAGGAAGAGGGCUCUCAUCAGAACAGAAGCUGCCAGGACCUUGAUCUUGGACUUUCAGCUUCCAGAACUGUGCGAAAAGCAGUUUGGAGGCAAUGUCACAAAUCCUGGGCCCAGGCCUGAAUAAAGCUGGCAAGUUCCUUUCCUUGCUGAUCCACAGUGAAAACGUGAUGGCCAAAGUAGAUGAAGUGAAGUCCAUAAUUAAAUUCCCAGUUGAAGAUGGUGUGGCGUCUGGCAGUGGCUAUCAGCCAUGUGAAGAUGACAGAGGAUGAGCUUGGGCACAACAUCCACUUAGCUGUCAAUUUCCUGGUACCAUUGCUCAAGAAGAAUUGGCAGAACAUCCAGGCUUUAUACAUCAAGAGCACCACGGGCAAGUCCCAGAGCCUGUACUAAGGCACAAGUUAAUAAACCCUAGUGCUACCAUUAAAUAAAUCUAUCAUCUAUCUAUC